UCGCGAACCUCCUCCUCAGAGAAAGGUGCCUCCAGGGAACUCAAAUCAAUUGCAACUCUGUGGCAAGCAGCGAGGUUAAGAGAAAACGGUCUCUGGAUAUUAGAACCCAAAAGAAUGGAGAAAAAAUCGUCCAGAACCUCCUGCAUUUGUUCAUGGCUGGUGACAGUCCUCCCAUCAUUCUCCAAAUGGGAAAUAAAAUUUCUCUUUUUGCGGAAGCGAGCCUGUAGAUGAAAAAAUUUUGUGUUGGCAUCUCCAUCUCUCAAGUAGUGCAACCGGGAACGCAAGCGUGCAACUGUCCUUUCUAAAGAAGCAAGAACAAGGCAGUGCUGUUUCAAUUUCUGCAGCAACCAUCGCUCAUCUGAGGAUAACGGCCUGCUGUCCUGCGCCAUCUCCAACCUGUGCAGCACCCCACGAGCCAGUCCCAGCUGAGAAUUGACAUUUCCAACCGCACUAUGACCCCAGGACUGCAACCUCCGCGCCAAUCUUUUAAGCUUCAAUGACACCCUCUCCAGAGGGCAAGAAGACUGAACCGGUUGAUCCCAGGAAGCAGCAACCUCCUCCAAAAAACCCGGGAGUUUAGGCCAAAAAUUCUCAAAAUGAAACCUACGCCUCCCCCUAAGAUCCGCAUUGAGUUUAAGAAUUAGAGGACAGUGGUCAGAAAUUUCAGAGGCACUGCUGUAAAGAAAACAAUCAGGGAAAGCCUCCUCCCAACAGGUAGAGCAAAAAACAUGGUCCAGCUUAACUAGGGUGGGAACCGCCCGCUGAUUUGACCAAGUAAAUCUUCUACCAUUCAAGGGAAUCUCCUUCAAAUCGAAGGAGCCAAUAAGGCCUCUGAAAUUGCCCAAAGAAGACCUGUUAAUAUUAGAAUUAUUCUUGUCUUCUGACUUGUAAAUCUGAUUAAAAUCACCAGCUACUAUCCAC
rnacentral:lncRNA from 1 species